UUCAUUUGAGUUCCAGCACUCUCUCUCCUCACGUCUCCUCUCUCUCUUGUGCCCCUCUCUUCCUCUUCUCAACCCUCUCUCACUCUCUGGCGGUGCCUGGUCCCUUUCUCCCUCACGCAACUCUCUUAGAACCCGACGGUCUUUCCUCCAUCUUCUCGCCUUUCUUAGUCUCUUCCUCAACCCCUCGACCGACGGCUUGGUGGCUGAAGAAUCCAAGGUAUGCCUCGGCCCUUGCGUCUUCAAGAGCCCACGGAUUCCUCAUCUCAACUCCAGCGAACCACGGUGCAACUUCCAUCCACCACAAGUGGAAGUUAGAGGCCAGCUUCAUCCUCGGGAAGGCUGCAACUCCCCUUGGUGGGCAGCAUACAACUAUAUCAGCAAUCUAAAGGUUAGUGCAUGAGAUUUCAGAAUUGAACUUGUGCAACGCCGUUGGAUUAUUUUGGGUUAAGAUUCGCCAACGGAGUGGCCUGAUUCUCUCGAGUCACAGCCAAGAGUUUCAGACCUAUUUCACGGUGGAAGCUUUCCCUAAACUAGUUCUUACGAGUCACAAGGGAUUUCUUAGAUUUCCCAAACUUUUCCUUGAAGUUUGAUUCCAAUCAGCCAGCCAAACUCAAGCAAAAUGGGAUAGAAACCAUCCUGGGGUUCUACCUGAAAUUCUCGCCGGAAAAUCAGAAAAAGAAACAAAGAAAAAUCAGUGAAAAAGGGCAGGAAAAGAAAAGAAGAGAAAAGAAAAGAAAAGAAACGCCCAAGUGAAAAAGGAAAAAAAAGAAAAAGAAAAAGAAAGAAACGAAUCCGGCUGAAUUUGGGUGAGAAUUGGCUUUGAUUUAGUGCUGGUCAAAAUUUCCACAAUUUCCGGCCACCUCUGCCAUAUUUCUGGCGUACAUUUGGGGCUUCCGGCCAUCUCAGUCCGUGGACACAUUUGCCCUUCGUCCAGCCAUGGAGCAUCAACAUUUGGUGUGGGUAUUAUUGGGAAUUCGUGUGGCAAGAGAAGGACAAGCCUGGGGUUCUUUUGAUCCUGAGCCACAUUUAGUGAGAGCCAUUGAGGAGAGGGUCCUGUAGCAGGAACUUCAAGAGACAGAGGGAGAAAGAGAAGGAGAGAUCCUCACGUCUGCUCUCUUACGGUUGAGAUCAAGGAAAGGGGUUGCUGCUGGAAAUCAAUCUCGAUUAACAGGUAGUUCUUGAUAGUGUAUAGCUCAUGGUGUGGCGACCUCAGUCUUGUGAUGGAUGGGCAUUGGUAAUGUAGACACUGCGUCGGUUUUGGGCUUCGUGUUUAAUUUAGUUGUUUGGGUCCAAGUGUUUUAUUUUAAUACAGUUCAUUUGUUUAA